rnacentral:rRNA from 1 species
UACGUAGGUGGCAAGCGUUGUCCGGAAUUACUGGGCGUAAAGGGCCUGUAGGCGGCAUGGUAAGUCCGUAGUGAAAUCUCCCGGCUUAACUGGGAGCGGUCUAUGGAUACUGCCAAGCUAGAGAUCAUCAGAGGAGAGCGGAAUUCCCGGUGUAGUGGUGAAAUGCGUAGAUAUCGGGAGGAACACCAGUGGCGAAAGCGGCUCUCUGGGGUGGUUCUGACGCUGAGGGGCGAAAGCGUGGGGAGCAAAC